UGGGGAAUAUUGCACAAUGGGGGAAACCCUGAUGCAGCGACGCCGCGUGAAAAGAUGAAGUAUUUCGGUAUGUAAACUUCUAUCAGCAGGGAAGAAAAUGACGGUACCUGACUAAGAAGCCCCGGCUAACUACGUGCC
rnacentral:rRNA from 1 species